rnacentral:rRNA from 1 species
AACGAACGCUGGCGGCAUGCCUAACACAUGCAAGUCGAACGAGACCUUCGGGUCUAGUGGCGCACGGGUGCGUAACGCGUGGGAACCUGCCCUUAGGUUCGGAAUAACUCCCCGAAAGGGGUGCUAAUACCGGAUAAUGUCUUCGGACCAAAGAUUUAUCGCCUUUGGAUGGGCCCGCGUUGGAUUAGCUAGUUGGUAGGGUAAAAGCCUACCAAGGCGACGAUCCAUAGCUGGUCUGAGAGGAUGAUCAGCCACACUGGGACUGAGACACGGCCCAGACUCCUACGGGAGGCAGCAGUGGGGAAUAUUGGACAAUGGGCGAAAGCCUGACACAGCAAUGCCGCGUGAGUGAUGAAGGCCUUAGGGUUGUAAAGCUCUUUUACCCGGGAUGAUAAUGACAGUACCGGGAGAAUAAGCACCGGCUAACUCCGUG